rnacentral:lncRNA from 1 species
GGAGGAGGAUGGGGAGGAUCUGGAGAGGGAGGAGGAGCUGGAGAAGGAGAAGCAGGGAGGAGGAGGAGAGGGGGAAGGUGAGGAAGAGGAGCUGGAGGAGGAGGAAGAGGGGGAGGAGAUGCUGGAGGAGGAGGGGAGGGGGAGAAGGAGGAGUUGGAGGAGGAUGGAAAGGAAGAGAGGGAGGAGGAAAAGCUGGAGAAGGGAGGAGGAGGAGUUGGAGGAGGAGACAAGGGAAGAGGAGGAGGGAGAAGAAGAAGCUGGAAGGGGAGGAGGGGGAGGAGGAAAAGCUGGAGGAUGAGGGGGAGGAGUUGGGGGAGGAGGAAAGGGAGGAGGGGAGGGAGAAGGAGAAGUUGGAGGGGGAAGAGGGGGAGGAGGAAAAGCUGGAGGACGGAGGGAGGAGGAGGGAGAAGAAGGAGGAGCUGGAGGGGGAGGAGGGGGAGGAGGAAAAGUUGGAGGACAGGGGGAGGAGGAGUAGGAGGAGAAGGGGGAAGAAGGAGGAGUUGGAGGGGGAAGAGGGGGAGGAGGAAAAGCUGGAGGACGGGGGGAGGAGGAGUUGGAGGAGGAGGAGAGGGAAGGAGGUUCCCAGAGAGGUGGGUGGCUUUAGGUCACGUGUUCAUCCGAGACCAACUACAACCCAGGACCCCGGGGCCUGUGCAGGUCACUGUGCCUCUUCCAGCCUCGGUAUCCUCUGGAAGCUCUUGGCCCUGUUUUCCUGGGUCCUGUGUGGGCAGGGGCCUUAUGAAUGUACCAUUCAAGUGGAAAAGAUGGGCUCACCACACGAACGCAGCUUCCAGACACCUCCAGCUGUGUCUCCUCAGGACCCCUGCACAGAGGUCUGAGAGCCCUGGCCUGGGCAGAACAUGGCCUCAGUGUGCUCCUGUGGACCCUGGUGGGAGCCCCAGGAGCCGUGGUGAUGGGGUGAGUUGGGCGAAGUUCUUGGCUGUUGCUUGUGGCCCAUCUAUGCCUGCGGUUGGACGCCCUUCAGGGCCAGAGCAGGUGCCUCAGUGUGCAGACACUGCCUGGCUCUCUUUCUACAUUGUCUUCAUCUGGGUUCUGUUGGGACAACAAUCAGGGGGGUCUCGUUCUGUCUGUGGAAUGGGCCUCACCUAGCGAGAAGCCCCAAGGGCCCCCAGGGGAUGGUGAACCUGUGUGUACAAGUGUGUGCGCUCAAGUAAGCUCAUGCGUGUGUGUGUGCUUGUGUGAGUGUGCUUGUGUGAGCUCAUGUGUGUGUGCGCUUGUGUGUGUGUGCAUGAGCUUAUGUGUCAUGUGUGUACGUGUGCUUGUGUGUGUGUGCUUGAGCUUAUGUGUGUGUGAGCUUAUGUAUGUGUGUGCAUGUGGUCAUGUGUGUGUGCGUGAGCUUGUGUGUGUGUGCGUGUUAGCUUACGUGUCAUGUGUGUGCUUAUGUUGUGUGUGUGUGCGUGAGCUUAUGUGUGCGCGUGUGUAUGUGUGUGAGCUUAUGUGUCGUGUGUGCUUGUGUUGUGUGCUGUGUGUGAGCUUUGUGUGUGUGAGCUUGUGUGUGUGUGAGCUGUGUGUGCGUGAGCUUUUGUGUGUGUGCAUGAGCUUUGUGUGUGUGUGCUCAUGUGUAUGUGUGUGAGCUUGUGUGUCGUGUGCGCAUAUGCUUAUGUGUCGUGUGUGUGCUUGUGUCGUGUGUUGUGUAUGUGAGCUUGUGUGUGUGUGUGCUUGUCUGUGUGACCUUAUGUGUUGUCAUGUGUGCUUAUGUGUCAUGUGUGUGUGCCUGAGCUUUGUGUGUGCAUGAGCUUUGUGUGUGAGCUGUGUGUGUGUGUGUGAGCUUUGUGUAUAUGAUGAGCUUGUGUGUGUGAGAGCUUGUGUUUUGGGUGAGCUUAUGUGUCACGUGUCGUGUGUGUGUGCAUGAGCUUUGUGUGUGUGCGCGUGAGCUUGUGUGUGCAUGAGCUUGUGUGUGUGAGCUUAUGUGUGUGUGUGAGAGCUUGUGUGUGUGCAUGAGCUUGUGUCAUGUGUGCGUGAGCUUUGUGUGUGUGGUGUGUGUGAGCUUGUGUGUGUGUGUGUGAGCUUGUGUCUGUGUGUGUGAGCUUGUGUGUGUGUGUGAGCUUUGUGUUUGUGUGAACUUGUAUGUGUGUGAGCUUGUGUGUGUGUGUGGGCUUGUGUGUUUGUGAGUUUGUGUGUGUGUGUGUGUGUGUGAGCUUGUGUGUUUGUGAGCUUGUGUGUGUGUGUGUGUGCAUACACGUGUGUGCAUGUGCACAGCCCCAGAGCCCCACUGCUGGGCACCGUCCCCAGUGAGUACCCCAGCGAGCCGGGUUCCGCGUUCCAUCUGUGGGUGAGGCUAGAGCCAUGGUGCUUGCGUUUCCUGUGGCCCAUCAGGGAUGCUGUUGCCUCCACCACUUUGGAGCCCCCAGGGCUCAACCCUCCUGUUGCCUCUUCUCUUUCCACAGAUUCCUUCCUAUCAGAACAGAAGGCGCGUGCCCGUCGGGCCCCUCUGUUCUUCCUGAGGAAUGGAAGUCGUCCCCAGACUGCCUCCCUCCUUCUUUUUGAAAGUCCGGACACGAUGUGUCUAAGUCAGGCAUGCCAUGCCUGGGGGUCUGGCCCUGAAAUGGCCAGGCAGGUGGUCUUUGGGUCAGUGACACUCUGGCUUUGAAAUCUCCCCCAGAUGCACUUGGAACAAGGGGCUCAUGGGAAGACCCCCCAGAUCUGGGGGAGCCAGCUCCACACCUCUCUCUGGGUGGCUGAUAUUUCAAAACUUGUAGCUCUCCAGACGGUGGCUGGGGAGCCUCUCCGCGGUGGGGGCGCGCACCCUCCCUUGGCAGCUUUGCCUGAGCUAGGGAGGCUCCCUGGUGUCUGAGGCUCUGAGAGCCGGGUCCACUGUUGGAGCCAAUGCUUUCUCCUGACUGUCCCAUGUCCAUGCACACGUCCAUGCACUUACGGUGGUCCUUAGGGUGAGGCAGGAGGAGGCUUCAUGGAAUUAGACAUUUCCACAGUGUCUGCAUAAGUUGAGGGUGGCGCUCUCGCUGUUCGGGGCCUCCCGACUCUCCCCCUGAAGCCGGUUGGCCUGAAAUGCAGACUUGAUGACCUGGAGCCAGCCCCUGGCCUCUGAGAAGCUGAGCUGCUGCUGUGUUGGCCUUUCCUCCAUUGGGCGCUGAAAUCCACAACUCUCACCAGCCAGCUGGGGACUGGGGGUGGAACAGCGUCCAGGUGUCUGGGAAGGACUCUAGGGCUCUGACUGAUGGACUGAGGGUGCAGCCCUCCCAGCAGUUCCUGUCCACCCUGUCUCAGCGUGGGCUGACCCGGAGGUCUGGGAUGUGACGGGCUUGAAAAAUGAUGUGGUGAUCUUGCCUGGAGGGUGUUCAUGAGAGACGCAUGCUAAGUCGUGGCGGGUGGGGGGUUACUUACAGAAGACAGUGCUGUAUGAUCCUAAUUAUGCACAAGACGGCACAGCGGUCAAGACUGUGGGCACUGGAGCCUGCUGCCAGGGUUCAAGUCCAGCUCUGUCACUUUCCAGAUGACCUUGACCUUGGACAUGCUGCCAAACAGCCCUGCACUUCAGUGCCCUCAGCUGCCAGAUGGGAUGAUGCUCACACCUGUCACUCAGGGGUAUUGCGCAGAUUAAAUGAGUCAAUACGUGGAACAGACUUAGAUCACCAGCCCUACGUAAGUGACCACGGACACAAAUGUCUACAGUUUCUGAUGAUUUUAAUGGUCUUCAUUUUGUUUAUCUGCAUGUUUGAAUGUUCCUGCAACAAAUACGAAUGACUGGAGUAAUUUUGAAAAAGGUAGACAUUGCUUUGAACAAACUUAGAAUCAUCAUUGACCCACGUGUUGCUUGUGGGGUAAAAAAAAAAGUAAAAAUAAAAAUAAGAAACAUCUGAAAGCUUUCAACCCACCACACGCUGGCGGGGUAGCAGCUGAUUGCAGUGCUGAGGUGUUGGAGGGGAGACGGAGUCAGUGGGGCUGGUCCUGGCUCCCUAGGGCUCUGUCAGGUGGGGGAGACACCUGUAGAGGUGGGAUGCUCCCCAAGGUGAGGGCUGAGUGGAGGGAGGGCUCAGAAGAGGGCAACUUGAAGGGGCUAGUGAGGGGCUGUAGAGGUGGUGGACUUUGAGCCAGGUCUUGGAGGACGGGUAAGAUUUCGACAGGCAGGGAGCAGAGGCGCACACAAAGGUGUCCAGGUGCAGGGA